GUCAGAUGUCUCCUUGGAUCAAGCAGCUAUUACCCCACUAAUUAGAAAUUAUAUCCCUGUAUGUUAUGUUUUUGUAAGUAUUUAUCCAAUUUCAGUUUAAACAUCUGUAUGGACUCUGACAAAACCACCUCUUCAGGCAGAGAAUUCCAUAUCCUUAUUGCUCUUACUGUAAAAAACCUUUUCUUUGCCUUAGAUGAAAUCUCCUUUCUUCCAGCCUAAAUGUGUGACCUUGUGUCCUAUGUAUAGCC
rnacentral:lncRNA from 1 species